rnacentral:sRNA from 1 species
UAAUUCGAGUCGCCGGCAACGCAAGCCUA